UGGAAAUCGAGGCACCGACACCGUGAGAGGAUGCUCGUUUCCUGCAAUGAACCCAGCUCUCCAUCCUGCGGAAGGAGCAGCUUCCCGCCCCGUGUCCGUCUCACUUUCUCCUGGCGUGAGACACACACCAAAAUCACCGCAGGCAUUUGACUGUUUCACGCAGCACAGGAAGGAACUCUGUGGGUCAUGCUAACAGCCAAGCCCGUAAACAAGCCCCACUGCAAAACCAAAAUGGAAAAGAAGCGCCUCCGCGGAGGUACCUGCCAACAAGACUGGUUCCUUUGCCACGCGGGAUAUGCUGCGAAAGCCUCCAUCCC
rnacentral:lncRNA from 1 species